CGAUCGGGGCUCUCCCCCCUCGGCUGUAGGAGGGUGGCGAGGCGUUGAUCAAUACGUGAAGAUAGAAUCCGAUGCUACCCAUCCAGCCAUUCCGCCCCCCUUCUGUCCCCCCCUUUCCCUCUUUGUCCCCUUGGUUCCUCUCCACCAUACGCCAGCUCGACAACGCUACAACCACCGCUGCCCGGUCCGGCUGAGGGUAUCGCGGCUCAAUCGACUGAUUUGUCACCCACGCAUCAUUUUCUUCGAAGGAAGGAGGGUGAAUUUCUGGGAGCUUACUGCGCUCGAGCCGUGUAACGUUUCCAUUGGUGAGGACAAGGUGCACGGUGAUGGAAACGUAAGAUGUUAAUGAGGCUGGAGGGUUGGCAUUCCUAGCGGCCUUCCAAGACUUCCAAAGAUUUCUCUCUGGUGACGUCAAGAUUCUAAUCCUCCAAGAGUCUUCGUUCAAUCUCGACGCGCAUGCCUACUCUAGUUUUUCUCAAGCACACAAUGGUGCGCGGUAGCUACCCCUCGUUCUGAAAUUAUUGUUGCUUGGGGUGGAGCAUACAGCGAGGGCGCGGCGUAUCAUCCAACAGAUAUGAUAACCCUCGGCUAUGGGUUGGUUCGACGCAACGGACCAAUAACGCUCCACGGUGUUUCAUUCAUAACCAUAUCAUAAGCAUAGCACCGCCCAUCGAUGAUAAUUCUCUCUUGCGUGUUACAAAACUGUAUUUCUUAAAUUUUACUUGUAGUUGCUGCAAACCUCAAUAUUUUUAUUUAUUCGUCAUAUGUAUAUAUCUCUUUUUAUAAAACAUAUUUCGAUUAGGCUUCUUUAAUUGGCUUUCAUUAAUACGAAAAUUUAAUUUACUCAUUUUAACUUUAAUGUAAAAAUAUGUGAUAUUCAACUUUUUAUAUUUUUUGUUAAUAUAAAGUAGGAAUCUCGUGCAUGUUCUAUGUAUAUGCGAAAGUAAGUCUAACAAGUAGAGCGAUAGUCUCACCCAACCUUGCCAAUUGCUAAAAUCGAAAUCAAUUUUCGAGAUUCUCUUUUUCAAAACGGAAGAAAAUGAGAAGGAGAAGAAAGAGAGAGAGAGAAAGCCUAAUCGUAAUCGGUACAAAAGUCUUCGUAUUACAAUUUUCUGAGAGUUCAAGAAGAUUGCGAACGUCAGGUACAGCAGAACGCUUAAGACGUUUGAGGAGCAAUGAGGGGGUGAAUUGCGGUGAAAACGUUAGGUCGAAGCAAAGGGGAUAUUCGGGGGUGGAAGGACGGAGGGGGAGAGGGGUUAAACCAAGAGAUAGAGGGUAGCUGUCACAACCACGCCAGCCGUUACUUCUGCUCCGGUAAAUUCUGUGCUCGCUAGAACAUCGAAUGAUGUUCUGCCGGUUCGUCUGCCUGCGAUCGGUUUCUCUGAUGCUUUAACGAAUACUUUAUCUUCCUUUUUCUCCUCGUCAUGGCGUCACGAAGUUACACAUACGUCUGAUAUUUUUCGUGAGAGAUCAUACGCAGCAUCGAGAAGAAGAAUAAAAUUACAAUCAUAAUGACACGGAGAAAAAUCACGCGUUGGCACGAUAUGAAAUCUUGAAUACGUAUGAAAUCCUCCGCCGACCGCGAACGAGCAUUCGAGAAGCAGGAGAAGCGAAGACGGCACACCGCGGGGGAAAAUUGCGGCGCGAUCUGUUUCAACCGUGGAUAUCAACCCCGCAUCAUCGCCCACGAGAGCGUU
rnacentral:lncRNA from 1 species